rnacentral:misc_RNA from 1 species
GAAGACUGACACGUUGAAAGAACAUGAAGUAGGUUUGGAGCAGGAAACUGCUACUUACCCCAAGCAAAGAAUAUCUAACAUUUACGUUGAGGCCAAGAAGCAUCUCUCUGAGAUGCUUACCAGUGAGACUGGGGAUGUUGAUUUUUCAAGCGGACAGGCUCCAAAAACCCUUGGGAGGAUUCUCUCUCUUCCUGAGUACAAUUUUUCUCCUACUGGCA